UUAUUAACUUCCUCCCUUUAUCAAGCACAGUGAUUUAGGAGAUAUCAGUUCAGCCUACAUAGUCUGCAAAAUUAACAUCAGUCACUCCGGAAAUAAUCGUGAAAGAAAGCAUCUGAAUAAUAUAGAUAGAAAUUCUAAGCCAUGUAAGACCAUUAGCCACUUGUAAACUUAAAACUUAAGGAAAGAUAAAAGAGUGGAGGUCCAUAUGCAAAUAGGUGUGUAUCUACCCAGGAAUAUACUAGGUCACUUGUGUUGGAUUUAGUCCAUACACUGUAUUCUAAGCAUGUAAAGGUCUGGUAAUAGGUUUUAAAUGGAGGUAGAAAUGGCUUAAUGGACUAAGCUCUAGGACUUAAUGGAAUCAACGAGUAAAUUUUAAAACCUGGUCUGCCACUAAAAGGUUAUAUAAACUUUAGGAGUCACUUAAAUUUUUAGCAGUUUCGAGUUCAUUACUUCCAGUCAGUAACAUCUGAAAUUGUGUGCCAAAAUACACCCCCAUUAUCAGUUAAAAAUUUACUAGGAGAUGUUUCAGUCUCUAUAUGUAUCCAUUUACUUUUUUUUCAUAUUGAUAGUUUUCUAUUUACCUACAUGCUUAAAGGACAUAAUUAUUAAAAUAGAUUUUACCUUUUACUUCUUUUGCCUUUAACAUGGUACCUCUGUAAACCUACAGUUGUUAGUGAGAGAUAACAACCCUCUCUUUUUUUUUCACUUAGACAAUGGUUAACAUUGAAUCACUUGGGUAUUUAUACUCAAAGUGGUACAAAAAGGUAGAUGUGGUUGGCCUCCUCAAGAAAAUUCUAUUUUGACAUUCUACCAGUCACACCUUCUGGUAUAUGUAUAGUUAGUACAGAGAGACCACUGAGAGAAGAAUAUAAUCCUUAGUCAAGUUCUAAUCAUCCUGUCUCUGGAUAGCCAUUUUAUCAUAUAUGAUUCCUUACAUUCUCUGUCCCUUGGAUUUAUACAAACUAAAUCAAGUGAACCAUUGCUCCUACCAAUAGACCUCCUAGACCAAACUAAUAAAAGGUGGAAAAUUGCAGAGUUUGAUUAUGGAUAUCACAAAUAAGGCACCUCCUUUAUAAUUAAUUCUCCAAAAUAUCCAUCCAAUACAGUUCUAGCAUCCCUUCUCACAUUGUGACUUGGACUAUGCAGUUCCAAGGGAGUGGUUAUGCAUCAGCUUAAACAAUUUCUCUGCUAUUCACUCCAUCAUUCAUUCUGCUAGACUGCUGAGGCAGAGGUGACAAGAACAGGAGGAAAUCCUCAUCCACUGGGAAGACAGACACAUGAUCAAGUUACUUUCAAAGAUCCAGGUGCUUGGUUGAGUGCUUUACAAGGAUUAUAUCAGUUUAUCCUUAUAAUAACCCUAUUGAGAAAGGCACCAUAAUUAUCUGACAUUUUGCAGAAGAAAACUGAGGCAGAGGAUAAAUCAUUUAUCUAAAAUCAUAUGCUAGAAAGUGGCUAACCAUGGAUUGAAGCCCUUGUAAUCCAGCUAAAAACAUGAUUUGAGAAUCAAAUUGAAGCCUGCCGGUUGGAACAAUGAUGCUACAACUAUAAUACACCAUAUUUAUUUUCAGAGAAUAAAGUCUUUUCAUUCCAAAUGCUUCUUUAUUUCUGAUAUGGGGCUAAGUCAUUUUUUCUAGAAAACCUACCUUGCCUGGGUAGUAAUACCCUGUGAGAUCAUUCUCUCUAAUCUGAACAAAUUCAUAUCAGAAGAGAGAGAAGAUUUAAGGAAAGGGAAGGAGAAGGCUGCUAGCAUUUGUUGAGUACUUACCUUUAGAAGGCAUUUUGCAGCAUAUGUUUGCAAACACUGAAAACAACUGUAAUAAAUAGGAAUGGUCGACUUCAUUUUACUGACAAAGAAUCUAAAUCACCAAGAGGUUAAUUAACUCCCAAAGAUUAUUCUGGUUGGAAUUCAAACCUACAAUUAUAAAAUUUGAAAAUAUUCAUGUUCUUUUCACCACAUAAAUAAAAACCCUAGACCCCACAACACCCCUUUCUACUCCCAACCCCAGCGUACGGAGUUAAAUAGCUAAUUGUUCAAUUUAAAUUUCAAGUUCUGUUUCAUUUUAUAGAUUCAACAGAAUUAUUCUGAGGAAAAAAUUUCACUGCUUAAGAUGUACUGUCUCAAAUCUUUAGUUAUAAAACAGGCUAAGAUGAGGGUUGGGGUUCAAAAAGAGCUCAUUUGACCAUAUAAUCCCUGUUAUCUAUUAAAACAGAUUACAUAAAUUGCAGUCAAUAAGACAAAGCCUUACUAUUAUUUGAUUUGCAACAACACAUGUUCACCCUUCAAAACACAAAAAGAUGGCAUAGGCUUUGGCAGAAUUAUGUGCAGAUACCAUAGCUAAUCCCUUGAAAGAAAUCCAAAGUGAUCACAAAGCCUUCUAGAAGACCAUAACCAAAAAAAAAAGAAAGAAAGAACCAAAGAACAAAAGAAAAGAAAACCACCAAGGUUAAGGGAGCUGAAAAAUGUCCAUGCUGAUCAAAUUAGUCUUGGAAUCCAGUACUCUGUUGAUAAAACAGUUGUCUUCUAGAGACUCUCAGGAAAUAAAUGGAUGGCAAGGGUUAAUACAAAUGCAACCUCCAGUAUCAGAGAAGAACAUCAUUAGCCCACAAAGGAGUCAAUCUUUCAAUUGUCUUUGAGUAAGGCUGUCUCUUUAAGUCCAUAUCUUUAGUAUCACUGAAAUUUUCUUAUAGGCUUCUAAUGCUUAAUGGGAGUAAAUUGAAAACUUGAAAGAUAUGUAAAUUUCUGGAUUUGCAGAGUAACAUCAACCUUAAACCAGACUACCGGAAAUGGAAACUUAACUGGAGUUUUGCACUGGUGACCAUGAAACAGAGACCCUGUCUUUGGUAGGGUGAUAAGUGUAACAUGACCUUGAGUAUCCUCCAUAUCAAGAUCCUAAGAAUAUGAGAAUGCCUUUGCUUGGUAAAACUAGCUAACCAAAAGGCUGGCUGAAACCUCAGUUUUGCCGGACCCUCAGCAGAAAUUCUUCAAAUUCCAAAUGGCUAUCACUUAAAGUUAGGAAAACCAGUAAAGCACGUAGAAACUGGGUCAAGCCAGGAGCUCUGCAUUAAGCCUAAGGUGGCAAGAUAAUCCCAACAUGGGAUUCAAAAUUCAAAAUCAGAAAUUAUGUAGCCUGUGGGACUAAAGCAUCCUUAGGCAGUCCAGGGUUAUGGAGGGAUGCCAGCAGAGCAGCUACAUCAACCCAGAUGCAUGUGCCAAAAGUUUUCAGAUAACAAUAUGGGGCAAUGCCCUUUGGAUACAAUGUGGGAAUGUGGAUUAUGGCAACUGGUGAUUUAGCACAGCCUUGCCUUUUUAUUCUUGAUAAAGCUUGUAUUUGGUAAACAUCACUCAACAUAUUGUCAAGGGAAGUGCACCAGGCUUUCCCCUGCAGAGAACGUUCCAGGAUAAUUAUAACAUCACAAAAACACGUUGGCUCUUCUUUCUGAGAAUAAUGCUAUCAGAGACAACAUGUGUGGCUGAAAACACACUGGACUAGGAUAGCAGAGACCUAGAGCUAUACUCCAACCUGCCACAAUUUAACAGAUUUCUUCACUGGUAACUACAUCAGUGGUGUCAAAUGACUGUAUCCCUAUAAAUUUUCAGGAAACAAAACAUGACAAAAUAAACACAUAUAUGCACAAAAGUGUACACAUAGACACACAUAUAUACAUUUACAAAUACAUGGGAAUCGCUGCGUCAGGUAAGUAAAGAUGAUGGGACUACCUCUCACACACUCCACUACAGCUCAUCUCUAAAACUCCUCUAUAGAAACCCAAAGGUAGCUAAAAGCAAUUUGAAGUAGCUAAGACUAUUCUCAAAUGUGUUACCCUGUGUGAGUUUUUUAACAAGAAAAAAAAAGCAUUUAAAUUUGACUUUUGAUAUGCCAACUACACUGUGUAUAUAUCUAAUCGUAUUUUCUGGAAAAGAGUGUGGGGAAAAUCUCUAAAUUCCUUAGGACAUUUUCAUCUAGUUCUAUUGAUUUAAUGUUUGUUAGAGGAAUCACAAAAUUUCACUGAUUUAUAAGAGGAAAAUGAGUAGGAACACAUACCAAUUGAGACAUAACUCUGAGUGUGAGUGAAUUAGAUACAGGAUUCAAUCUUUCUGAUAAGGAAAAGAAUUAAGAGAAAGUAUAAAAAUAGGCUUUAAAAAGAAUAAAAUUAUUUGUAGUUAAUGUCAACCUUUCUAGGAGAAGCAAAGUCAGAUCUAACUCUCCCUUGGGUAAAGUCACCUCAGGGAGGGGGCUUAUUAUGGCAUUUCAUAAAUGAGUCAAUGAGUUUUCAGCAAGAUGAAAUCCCUUCACCUGAAGUUGGAGUCCUCUAUCCCACCUGUGGACAGCUACAGUAAAGGCUAUCUAAACAAUGAGAAUGCUUACAAGUUUAACAAUUCUCAAAUAAUUAGAGAAAAAUUAAGAAAUUACAACACAUUUCUUUUCAGAAAGGUAAAAACAAUGUAUUCUUUUUGGAAUAUUGGGGUGUCAAAGUGAAUAGUUAUGAAAAAUCCACUGUUGAUUAUACACAAAGAACAAAAAUCAUGAGGCUGUCCUAGAAGUGUGAGACCCAAGAAAUCUAACGUGCAGAUUAAGAGAACAGUAAACACAAUAACAGGAUAAACCCAGAUCAUCUGGGGAAACUAAGUAAUUACACUGUGAUGGGAGAUUUAUGAAAUUAGGAAGAGAAAGAUGCAAAUUUAGAAUAAUUUCAUUAGCAAAAAGUAACUAAUCCCCAAGGAAAAACACCAAUUAUAUCCUUGGUUCUGUCAUAUUUGGGGCAAACUUAAAUAAAGUAAAUAAUAUGAUAUUCCAAAGGUGAUUUAAGCAAACUUUCAACCUUUGCCUAGCUGUUUAUCUUCUCAUUAAACCAGCAAAGUUGUUUUUUUUAAUAAUUGAAUGGCCCAGAGGAGGUUUAUUACUAUUUUUAGUAUGUGAAAAUCUGAUUAAAAUUAUGCACUGUUACCUACUCAAGGCACAUGCCUUAUAAUUACCAAUUCAUUAAUUUAUCCUCAUUACUGUCAUUCCCAUUUUAUGUGUAAAGAAACUAAGAGACAAAGGUUUCAGUUUCCUUGCUUAGUAUAGCAUAUGGUAUAUGCAAUGUCAAAAGGACGGUAUUGCAGAAAAGGUAAAACAUGAACUGUAUACUGGAAAAUGUGAAGGAGGAAGCCUUUUCUGGCAGAUGGAGCUGCUUCUGGGUACGGAGAGACAAAGAGAGAAAAACAGAGAGAGUAAGAUACAUUUCAGAGACCCAGUGUUGUUGGAGAACAAAUAUGAAGGUGUAGCAGCAGGAAAGGCUUAGGGAGUUAGGCUGGUUCUGUGUCAUGUAGUAUCUUGAAGGCCAGACUUGGAAAGGUCUACUUUUCCCCUAGACCACUGAGGAAACAUUAAAGGAUUUUAAGCAAGGAUAUUUACAUUUCCAAAAUAAUCUUUCUGAUAAAAAUGUUGAAAAUAAUUUGGAAGCCAACAAUUCUAAAAUUAGGGAAUUCCAUUACAGGAUUCUUUCCUUUUUUUUUUCCAGCUUCAUUGAGAUAUAGAUGACAUAUAAAAUUAUGUAGAUUCAAGGUACACAAAGUGGUAAGUUGAUACAUCCCCAUCACCUCACACAAUUACUUUUGUAUGCAUGUGUGUAUGUGUAUGGUGAGAACAUUUAAGAUCUAUUCUCUUAGCAGCUUUCAAGUAUAUAAUAUUAUUAUUGCUAACUAGAGUCACCAUACUAUACAUUAAAUUCCUAGAAUUUAUUCAUUUUAUAAUUGGAAGUUUGUAGCUAAUAACCAACAUCUUCCCAUUCCCCCAGCCCCUUGCAACCAUCAUUUGAUUUUCUGUUUCUAUGAGUUGGGCUCUUUCAAACUCCACAUGUAAGUAAGAUUACACAUUGUUUUUCUCUUGACUUUUUUCACUUAGUGUCAUGCUCUCAUGAUCCCACCACGUUCUUGCAAAUUAUAGGAUUUACUUUUUUAGUGACUGAAUAUUACAUUUUACACACACAAAUGCCAUUUUAUUUAUCCAUUCAUUCAUCCACAAAUGUAGGUUAUUUCUAUGUUUUGGCUAUCAUAAAUAAUGCAGGUGCACAGCUGGAGGGACUAGCCCCAAGCGCAUACACGGCAGGUUUCAGCUGUAGGGAUAUAGGCUGAUAUCCUAUACUCAGAUAAGAGGCCAUUCCUUCUGUGUGGCUGACACUGGUAGCCCCUUCCUUCUUCCUUGUUCCAAGUUAUCUCUAUACAUCUCAAAAUAAGGCUCUUCCCAUAAUCCAGGUAUUACCAAUUCCUGAUUCAGGAAAGAUGCAGAAAAUGUAAUAGCUCUGAAAUAUAUGGAAGAAAUGAAAUCACUGGAAUUUAGUAGCCAUUUGGCACGGGUAAGAGGGAGAAGCCAAAUAUGGUUACUAAGAAUAUUAUUUCUGUUACUAAGAAUAACAGGAGUUCCACUGUGGCUCAGCGGGUUAAGAAUUCAACAUAGUGUCCAUGAGGAUGCAGGUUCAAUCCCUGGCCUCCUUUAGUGGGUUAAGGAUCCAGG
rnacentral:lncRNA from 1 species